AAGUUGUCCUUACAAGAUCAAGAACAAGACAAGGAUGUCUGCUCUUGUCACUUCUAUUCAACACUGCACUGGAGAGUCUAGCCAGGGCAACCGACAAAAUGAAGUAAAACACAUUCAGACUGCAGAGGAAGAAGUAAAACUAUUGUUAUUUGCAGAUAUCAUGAUUUUGGAUAUAGAAAACCUAAGGAAUCCACACAAAAAAACCUAUGAGAGCUAAUAAGUUUGGCAUGGUUACAGGACAAAAAAUUGAUAUACAAAAUUCAACAGUAUUUCUACACACUAGCAAUUAACAAUCUUAAAAGGAAAUUAAGAAAAUAAUUCGGAGCGCCGCGGGCCCGAGAUGAAGCCGGCAGUGGACGAGAUGUUCCCCGAGGGCGCCGGGCCUUAGGUGGACCUGGACGAGGCGGGAGGCAGCACCGGGCUCCUGAUGGACUUGGCAGCCAAUGAAAAGGCCGUUCAUGCAGACUUUUUUAAUGAUUUUGAAGAUCUUUUCGAUGAUGAUGACAUCCAGUGAGAUGACCUCUGGCUGCAGGCGGGGCCAGGCCCUUGGUACAGAGUCGCAGUGUGAGCCUGCGCAGGACAGUUUCAGGUGGUUUUAAAGAACACGUGGAAAUCCCUUGAAUUUAGGACCUGGUUAACCAAGAAAGAUAAGAGUGUUCUUCACCACCUAGAUGAGGCUGUUCGUCUCUGAACAUGACCAGGUUGUGUCCUCACUCCAAUUAAAAGAAAGCAACGUCAAAAAAAAAAAAAAAAAAAAAAAAAAGAAAAUAA